UUAAGCGACUAAGCGUACACGGUGGAUGCCCUGGCAGUCAGAGGCGAUGAAGGACGUGCUAAUCUGCGAUAAGCGUCGGUAAGGUGAUAUGAACCGUUAUAACCGGCGAUUUCCGAAUGGGGAAACCCAGUGUGAUUCGUCACACUAUCAUUAACUGAAUCCAUAGGUUAAUGAGGCGAACCGGGGGAACUGAAACAUCUAAGUACCCCGAGGAAAAGAAAUCAACCGAGAUUCCCCCAGUAGCGGCGAGCGAACGGGGAGGAGCCCAGAGCCUGAAUCAGUGUGUGUGUUAGUGGAAGCGUCUGGAAAGGCGCGCGAUACAGGGUGACAGCCCCGUACACAAAAAUGCACAUGCUGUGAGCUCGAUGAGUAGGGCGGGACACGUGGUAUCCUGUCUGAAUAUGGGGGGACCAUCCUCCAAGGCUAAAUACUCCUGACUGACCGAUAGUGAACCAGUACCGUGAGGGAAAGGCGAAAAGAACCCCGGCGAGGGGAGUGAAAAAGAACCUGAAACCGUGUACGUACAAGCAGUGGGAGCACGCUUAGGCGUGUGACUGCGUACCUUUUGUAUAAUGGGUCAGCGACUUAUAUUCUGUAGCAAGGUUAACCGAAUAGGGGAGCCGAAGGGAAACCGAGUCUUAACUGGGCGUUAAGUUGCAGGGUAUAGACCCGAAACCCGGUGAUCUAGCCAUGGGCAGGUUGAAGGUUGGGUAACACUAACUGGAGGACCGAACCGACUAAUGUUGAAAAAUUAGCGGAUGACUUGUGGCUGGGGGUGAAAGGCCAAUCAAACCGGGAGAUAGCUGGUUCUCCCCGAAAGCUAUUUAGGUAGCGCCUCGUGAAUUCAUCUCCGGGGGUAGAGCACUGUUUCGGCAAGGGGGUCAUCCCGACUUACCAACCCGAUGCAAACUGCGAAUACCGGAGAAUGUUAUCACGGGAGACACACGGCGGGUGCUAACGUCCGUCGUGAAGAGGGAAACAACCCAGACCGCCAGCUAAGGUCCCAAAGUCAUGGUUAAGUGGGAAACGAUGUGGGAAGGCCCAGACAGCCAGGAUGUUGGCUUAGAAGCAGCCAUCAUUUAAAGAAAGCGUAAUAGCUCACUGGUCGAGUCGGCCUGCGCGGAAGAUGUAACGGGGCUAAACCAUGCACCGAAGCUGCGGCAGCGACGCUUAUGCGUUGUUGGGUAGGGGAGCGUUCUGUAAGCCUGCGAAGGUGUGCUGUGAGGCAUGCUGGAGGUAUCAGAAGUGCGAAUGCUGACAUAAGUAACGAUAAAGCGGGUGAAAAGCCCGCUCGCCGGAAGACCAAGGGUUCCUGUCCAACGUUAAUCGGGGCAGGGUGAGUCGACCCCUAAGGCGAGGCCGAAAGGCGUAGUCGAUGGGAAACAGGUUAAUAUUCCUGUACUUGGUGUUACUGCGAAGGGGGGACGGAGAAGGCUAUGUUGGCCGGGCGACGGUUGUCCCGGUUUAAGCGUGUAGGCUGGUUUUCCAGGCAAAUCCGGAAAAUCAAGGCUGAGGCGUGAUGACGAGGCACUACGGUGCUGAAGCAACAAAUGCCCUGCUUCCAGGAAAAGCCUCUAAGCAUCAGGUAACAUCAAAUCGUACCCCAAACCGACACAGGUGGUCAGGUAGAGAAUACCAAGGCGCUUGAGAGAACUCGGGUGAAGGAACUAGGCAAAAUGGUGCCGUAACUUCGGGAGAAGGCACGCUGAUAUGUAGGUGAAGUCCCUCGCGGAUGGAGCUGAAAUCAGUCGAAGAUACCAGCUGGCUGCAACUGUUUAUUAAAAACACAGCACUGUGCAAACACGAAAGUGGACGUAUACGGUGUGACGCCUGCCCGGUGCCGGAAGGUUAAUUGAUGGGGUUAGCGCAAGCGAAGCUCUUGAUCGAAGCCCCGGUAAACGGCGGCCGUAACUAUAACGGUCCUAAGGUAGCGAAAUUCCUUGUCGGGUAAGUUCCGACCUGCACGAAUGGCGUAAUGAUGGCCAGGCUGUCUCCACCCGAGACUCAGUGAAAUUGAACUCGCUGUGAAGAUGCAGUGUACCCGCGGCAAGACGGAAAGACCCCGUGAACCUUUACUAUAGCUUGACACUGAACAUUGAGCCUUGAUGUGUAGGAUAGGUGGGAGGCUUUGAAGUGUGGACGCCAGUCUGCAUGGAGCCGACCUUGAAAUACCACCCUUUAAUGUUUGAUGUUCUAACGUUGACCCGUAAUCCGGGUUGCGGACAGUGUCUGGUGGGUAGUUUGACUGGGGCGGUCUCCUCCUAAAGAGUAACGGAGGAGCACGAAGGUUGGCUAAUCCUGGUCGGACAUCAGGAGGUUAGUGCAAUGGCAUAAGCCAGCUUGACUGCGAGCGUGACGGCGCGAGCAGGUGCGAAAGCAGGUCAUAGUGAUCCGGUGGUUCUGAAUGGAAGGGCCAUCGCUCAACGGAUAAAAGGUACUCCGGGGAUAACAGGCUGAUACCGCCCAAGAGUUCAUAUCGACGGCGGUGUUUGGCACCUCGAUGUCGGCUCAUCACAUCCUGGGGCUGAAGUAGGUCCCAAGGGUAUGGCUGUUCGCCAUUUAAAGUGGUACGCGAGCUGGGUUUAGAACGUCGUGAGACAGUUCGGUCCCUAUCUGCCGUGGGCGCUGGAGAACUGAGGGGGGCUGCUCCUAGUACGAGAGGACCGGAGUGGACGCAUCACUGGUGUUCGGGUUGUCAUGCCAAUGGCACUGCCCGGUAGCUAAAUGCGGAAGAGAUAAGUGCUGAAAGCAUCUAAGCACGAAACUUGCCCCGAGAUGAGUUCUCCCUGACUCCUUGAGAGUCCUGAAGGAACGUUGAAGACGACGACGUUGAUAGGCCGGGUGUGUAAGCGCAGCGAUGCGUUGAGCUAACCGGUACUAAUGAACCGUGAGGCUUAACCUU
rnacentral:rRNA from 1 species